GACAGAGAGCAAAGUCUGAGGCAUAAUUCUGAAGAUAAAAGAGAUCAGUUAAUUCUCCCUCCAAUCAUUUUAUCUUCCCAAUGUGCUAUUCAUCUUACAGCUUGUUGCCUGGUAACCUGGUGAUUAUGAGGAAUAAUCAUGGCUACCAACACUGAAGGUACAGGUGAUUUUGUAUUAUGAUCCCUGCUCGCUUUUAAGCUGAGUAGGCAAUAGUGGGUGGCUCAGUUCCAAGAGAAAGGGCUUUGUUGUUACAGGGAAAGAAUGCUGGAUAUAAGAUGACAGUUUCGCUUCUACCAGACAGAUCUUCUCCAUAUGGUGGAGAAAUAGUCACUAGCUCACUAGCAUCUUGAACUUUCCAGUCUUCCCAGCACCCCGUCUCCAAAUCAGAACAGAAAGGAUGGAAAGACAGAGAAAUGGAAUGAAAAAUCUUCAAAGCUGGAAGGACAAAGGGAGUUUCCUGUUCUAGGAUGUGAUGUGAAAGGAAAUUAGAAGAUGGACUGUCCUGAAGCAUAGACAUGACCCUCUCCAACUCAUCAUCUGAGAUCAGCUGUCCUGGUAGGAACCCCUCCAGCCAACCCCUCCUCAAGUUAUUCUAUCUACUGGAAAAUUGACAUUCUAUGCUGAUUUUAUUGGAGGAAGAUACUACUCGCAUCAGUAUUAAAAUUGUCCUAAUGGAUACAGAAAUCUAUGACAUCUACAAACUUAUAAAUGGGGAAAUAAAGACUGGAAAAUGUAUGUGAUUUGCUCAACAUCAAACAGUCAUCAAGAGCCUGUGUUAACAUCUGGCGUGGAUCCAAAACCCAUGUUCUUUACUGUGCAGGAAGACAAGGAAAUUGUUCUGUACCAUUUCACCACUGAGGAAACUGAGUCUAGAGGAGUUACGUUUUCUGCUGAAGAUCACAUAACUAGGGGAACUUGUUUCUACCUCCAGACAAUUUUCUGCUGUGACCCUAAGGUAGUAGGCAUAAAGGGCUGGGGGCUAUUCCUCAAGCUAAUUUG